rnacentral:lncRNA from 1 species
CCGGAAUGUGCAAGCGGAAUGCCUGGCAUCUGAGAGUCCUGAGGAAGCUGCCCAGCCACCCUGCCCAUACUUCCCUCCCCUCCAGGCUUAGGUCCACUGUCCUCUCCCUUACAGUCUGGGAGCCUCUGCUGACCUUCUUCCAAACACUAGAUCUCUUCCCUUCCUCACUCUUCCCCAGUCUAGGCCCCCCAAACUCUCUUCCAGCUGAAUUCUCUAGGAAUAAGUCAGUUGGGUUGAUCACUGAACUCACAUUUCUGGACCUGAGGUACAACUUCUCACCUGGUAUCUGAGUGGCUGAUGGGGUGUGUCCUGGGUCCUAGGCCCUGCCCUCUCUGAAUGCUGGAGAGGCUGAAGUGCCCAGUGGAUUGCUAAGAGUUUCUGUAGCUCUGGUCUGUAAAGAGGAGCAAAGGAAGUCUCUUUGUAGCUAUCUGUCACUGAAGUUUAGAGCUCCUUCAGUCCCAGGUCCCAGCCAUGAACCCCCUCAUUAGAAGGCUGAAGGUCUGCUGGAGCUGGGUUUUGAUGGCCAGUGGGAUGGUGUCCCUGUGACACAGCCCUGCUUAGAGCUUUCCCAUUUUUCUUCCCUUUCCUUAUAGGAGCUUGUGCCUCCCACAUCCUCACCUGGCUGAGCCGCAGUAGUUCUUCAGUGGCAAGCUUUAUGUCCUGACCCAGCUAAAGCUGCCAGUUGAAGAACUGUUGCCCUCUGCCCCUGGCUUCAAGGAGGAAGAGGAGAAGGAUCUGCUUUCUCUAUCAUCUGGAAGGUGACAGAACUGGGGCUGGGAAGAUCUUAACUGCAGGGGUGAUAAUAGCUUUGGGGAGGAAAGAAAACCCUACUCAGAGAACCUUCACCCAGAUUGUCCCAGCAAAGGAGCAGCUUUAGAUAGAGAUGCUGGCUGAAUUGGGGAAUAAGUGGCUCAAACUCUCCAAGGUUAGUUGGUCUUUGUGUGGCAAUGGGAAGAAAUGGAGAGAAGGAAACUCUGUACACCUGGACCCAGAUUUCCUCCUUCACCUACUUUCCUUAUCUCCCAAUCUUCCCUACUGGCCUUUCCAAAAGUGAGUUUACUCUUUAGGGAAAGGUGAUAGUAAAACUCUGACCUCUAUAAGUCAUCCCUCUGCUCUUUUCCCUGUGUUUUCUUAGACUGGUCUAGAUUCUAGAUUUAGGGAUACUUACCUCUUUGGGACACCUGUUUCUCCACCUGGAGAUGGGGAAUCCCACAGAUGAGUACGUAGGAGGGCAUUAGAAACCCACCUGUGCUGACUCAGCCUGGGCUCUCCUUCCCCUGUGGGUGGGAACAAAACAGCUUUUCACAUAAAUUCUCCCUCCCCCAUUCCUGAUUACAAUCCCAGGUGUUGGGGGGUGGGGAGGUAGAUCGAGGGGCUUAGUAAGAGCUCAGUCUUUAUAUUUGACUUCCCACCAUGCAAGCUUGACCUAAGGCUUCCCCUGCCACCCAACAGCCAAUGGGGUUCUACUGCUGCUUCUCUCACUUUGCUUUCCAGGGUAGUGACUGACAGACACUAAGCUCCGGCUUGUACAACCGGGGAAGAUGGGUUGUGGGAUGUGACCCCCUUUUGGAUGUCAGACAGUGUAAACCCACCACCUCUAGCUCCUCGUUCAUUCUCACUUGUGGGCUUGGGCUGGGGUUCUGGUGUGAUUCAGCCUUGGACCAGUCUCCCUGACAGAACUACCCAAGCGGUAGUUCUGGGGUUACAAGAAGCUGUUUGAUCUGUUUGGUGAGAGGAGAUGUGCAGGGGGGCUCGAUCCUAUUCUCCAUUUAUGAGAAACUGAAAGUCACAGGGGAGAGAAGAUCAUUGAACCCAGCUCCUCUGUAGCCUUAACGGAGGGGCAGGAUGUGUAGGACUGUGGUAAAGGAGGGUGGGUAGACUGAGUCUACUCAGAGGCUGCAACAAAGAUUGCUCUGUCCCUGGACAUUGCUUCCACCCUUUCUUCCCCUCCUCACUUCACUGGCCACAGUGUGUCCAUCCAGCUCUGAGCAUAUAGCUCUGCCAUGUUCACCCAUCACAGAGCAGAGGUGAGGAAGGGCAGCCUGAAAACACAGAGGCAGGCAGAAGACCAGUGAAUGACCAGACCUGGAGAGCACUGGGCUGGAUCUGGGCAGCCAGCAGUGGGGCCCAUCAAGGACUGGAGUUCCCCAGGAGGAGGGAGAACAGCCAGCCUCCACCAAGGACAAGCUUCCAGCCAUCUCCUACUUCACUCACCAUUGUUCUUCAGUCCCAUGGUUUCACCUGCCUUCUUCCAGCUCUUUCCCAGCCUGUGAUUUUUAUAUAAGCAGCCUCAAGGAGCAUGAGGCAGCUGUGAAAGGACAUACACAGGAAAUUCAUAAAAGGAAUUCAAAUGUAUAAGAUCAUGAAAAAAAUGGUUUUAUAACAAUAAUUAAGGAGGGAAAAAAUCACUGAAAGCAUUUUCCCCUUAGCAUAAUAAAUAAGAUGCAAUAUUGGCCAAAGAACUCUUAUACAUUGCAUGUGGGAGUAUAAAUUGGUAUAGUCUUUCUGGAUGGAAGUUUGAUAAUAUGUAUUAAACACCCUAAAAAGUUUUAUGUCUUUUAAACCAGUAAUUCGACAUUUGGGACUCUCUUAAGAAAAUAAUUAAAGAUUUAGUUAUAAAAUGUUCGUUCAUUCCAGGCCUAAAGAAAAAUGGAAAGCAACUGUUUGGGAAUUCAUUCCUUUUCUGCUGUAAUGAAAAUUUGCAAUAGGGGAUUUCUUAAGUAAAUUAUUCUAUAUCUGUCCAGAUGGUGGAGUACUGUGCAACCAUUAAAAGUCAUGUACAAGAACAUUUUGACUGGAAAGAAAAAUGCUCUUUGAAUAUUAAAGAGGUUACAAAAAUAGUGUAUGUGACAGUUUCAUUUUAAAACCAAUUUUGUUGUUAAAAUAUGGUUGUAGGGGUGGGGAUGUAGCUCAGUGGUAGAAUAUUUGCCUAGUGUGCACAAGGCUCUGUAUUUGAUACCCAAUACCACACACACCCACCCACACACAAUUUUGUUGUAAUGGGUGUAUGCUUGUAUAUAUAGAAAACAGACUGAAGAUAUACUCAGAUGUUAAUAAUGGUUAACUUGAAUGUUGGAAUAAAUGUAAUUUUCAUCUUUGGUUUUUCUGUAAUUUCCAAAUUUUCUACAUGUAUAUUGCUUCCGUAUAAUAAAAAAAAUGUAAAAAAAUCA